CAGAUCUUCACGGUCCUGCAGUAACCCCUACACUGGAGGGUAAAAGGGACAUGAGGAUCGUCGGGGCUUGCUGGUCACCAGGAGGCCCAGCCCUGCUUCUGGCAUUUUAAAUGCUGUUCUCCUCUUGGCUACUCCAUGUGGGUUUUCUUGAAGAAUUACUCCUCUCCUAUUCUUCUCGGUGUACCAGUGAGGGCUGUAGGAAAAGCCCUCUAUGAGGUGUUUGUGUUUUCUUAAAUUUUGAGUUCACUGGUUUCCUGUCAGCCUCAGUUCUCUGAUGGAUUCAUUAAAAAGAAAAAUUAAGGGCUGGAGAGAUGGCUCAGCGAUUAAGAGCACUGACUGCUCUUCCAGAGGUCCUGAGUUCAAUUCCCAGCAACCACGCGGUGGCUCACAACCAUCUGUAAUGAGAUCUGAUGCCCUCUUCUGGUGUGUCUGAGGACAGCUACAGUGUACUCAUAUAAAGUAAAUCUUAAAAAAAAAAGACAUAAAAAAAUUAAAACUUCUCUAACAUCUCUCCCCCUCCCUGUCCCCGUGUGUGUGUGUGUGUGUGUGUGUGUGUGUGUGUGUGUGUGUGUGUGUGUGUGUGUAUCUUCGAGUAAGG
ensembl:lncRNA